AUGCAGUUUCUCCUGGAAUAGAAGCCUCUCUUGAAGGUGGACGGUGAGCUGGGCUCUGCCUGUCCUCUCCAGCAGGCUCUGGAAGCCGUGCCACUGAAGGGAACAGCUCAGGUCUUGCUAUGGUACCCUGAGAGUUUACCUUGGGGCUGCCAGGACAACCCAGUCCGAAGAAUGACACCACUGUUCCUCCGCCUUGCACCUGGCUGAUUCAUUGUACUGACCUUGAUGUGACCAUCUCCUGCCGAUGUGACCAUCUCCUGCCUAUGCGACUUCUGUAGUUUGCCCUGUUCUCUAUAUACCAUAUAAGCCUGAUUUCUACUCUGUACAAAUGACAUUCAAUUUCAGCACUC